rnacentral:rRNA from 1 species
UUGGUGAACCAGCGGAGGGAUCAUUACCGAGUUUACAACUCCCCAAACCCAAUGUGAACGUUACCAAACUGUUGCCUCGGCGGGGUCACGCCCCGGGUGCGUCGCAGCCCCGGAACCAGGCGCCCGCCGGAGGAACCAACCAAACUCUUUCUGUAGUCCCCUCGCGGACGUUAUUUCUUACAGCUCUGAGCAAAAAUUCAAAAUGAAUCAAAACUUUCAACAACGGAUCUCUUGGUUCUGGCAUCGAUGAAGAACGCAGCGAAAUGCGAUAAGUAAUGUGAAUUGCAGAAUUCAGUGAAUCAUCGAAUCUUUGAACGCACAUUGCGCCCGCCAGUAUUCUGGCGGGCAUGCCUGUCCGAGCGUCAUUUCAACCCUCGAACCCCUCCGGGGGAUCGGCGUUGGGGAUCGGGACCCCUCACACGGGCGCCGGCCCCUAAAUACAGUGGCGGUCUCGCCGCAGCCUCUCCUGCGCAGUAGUUUGCACAACUCGCACCGGGAGCGCGGCGCGUCCACGUCCGUAAAACACCCAACUUUCUGAAAUGUUGACCUCGGAUCAGGUAGGAAUACCCGCUGAACUU